UACGGGAAGGGCAAGCGUUAUCCGGCGUGACUGGGCGUAAAGAGUCCGUAGACGGUAAAGUAAGUUUAUUGUUAAAUGUUAAAACUUAAUUUUAAUAGAGCAAUAAAUACUGCUUUACUUUGAGUUUAAUAUAGAAAAGUAGAAUUUUAUAUGGCAGGGGUGAAAUCCGUAGAUAUUCGGAAGAACACCAGUGGCGAAGGCGACUUACUGGACACAUAUUGACGCUGAGGUGCGAAAGCGUGGGGAGCAAACAGG
rnacentral:rRNA from 1 species